ACCUUGGCUCUAGACUGCUUACUGCUACAGGCAAUGAGAGACACAGUAACAGUCUACAGUCAUGGCUA
rnacentral:pre_miRNA from 1 species